AUUGAACGCUGGCGGCAGGCUUAACACAUGCAAGUCGAGCGGGGUGAUGGUGCUUGCACUAUCACUUAGCGGCGGACGGGUGAGUAAUGCUUAGGAAUCUGCCUAUUAGUGGGGGACAACAUCUCGAAAGGGAUGCUAAUACCGCAUACGUCCUACGGGAGAGAGCAGGGGAUCACUUGUGACCUUGCGCUAAUAGAUGAGCCUGAGUCGGAUUAGCUAGUUGGUGGGGUAAAGGCCUACCAAGGCGACGAUCUGUAGCGGGUCUGAGAGGAUGAUCCGCCACACUGGGACUGAGCCACGGCCCAGACUCCUACGGGAGGCAGCAGUGGGGAAUAUUGGACAAUGGGGGGAACCCUGAUCCAGCCAUGCCGCGUGUGUGAAGAAGGCCUUAUGGUUGUAAAGCACUUUAAGCGAGGAGGAGGCUCUUUUGGUUAAUACCCAAGAUGAGUGGACGUUACUCGCAGAAUAAGCACCGGCUAACUCUGUGCCAGCCGCCGCCGUAA
rnacentral:rRNA from 1 species